rnacentral:rRNA from 1 species
UAAGAACGGCCAUCACCACCACCCACAGAAUCAAGAAAGAGCUAUCAAUCUGUCAAUCCUUACUAUGUCUGGACUUGGUGAGUUUCCCCGUGUUGAGUCAAAUUAAGCCGCAGGCUCCACUCCUGGUGGUGCCCUUCCGUCAAUUCCUUUAAGUUUCAGUCUUGCGACCAUACUCCCCCUGGAACUCAAAGACUUUGAUUUCUCAAAAAAUGCCGAAGGAAUCAACAGGCAACCGCCUCCAAUUUCUUGGUAGCAUAGUUUAUGGUUAAGACUAGGACGGUAUCUAAUCGUCUUCGAUCCCCUAACUUUCGUUCUUGAUUAAAGAAGACAUCCUUGGCAAAUGCAUUCGCAUUAGUUUGUCUUUAACAAAUCCAAGAAUUUCACCUCUGACAGUUAAAUACAAAUGCCCCCAACCAUCCCCAUCAAUC